rnacentral:sRNA from 1 species
ACCUAGCCGCGAUUGGAACGGCAUCCCCGCCGCGGCGGGAUAUAGUGGAAAGCGCGCAGAAUG